rnacentral:rRNA from 1 species
GAAUGCCACCAUAUCUCCUUGAGCAUAUAUGAUCUCAUCUGAUUUCAAAAGCUAAGUAGAGUUGGACCUUGUCAGUACUUGGAUGGGAGACUAUGAGGGAAUUAAUUUUGCUAACGUGCU